CCGAGUUGUAAUUUGUAGAAGAUGCUUCGAGGGUGGUGCCGGUCUAAGUUCCUUGGAACAGGACGUCAUAGAGGGUGAGAAUCCCGUAUGUGACUGGUUACCUUCGCUCAUGUGAAGCUCUUUCGAC
rnacentral:rRNA from 1 species